rnacentral:tRNA from 1 species
GGGCGCUUAGCUCAGUUGGUAGAGCAUCUGACUCUUAAUCAGAUUGUCGUAGGUUCGAUCCCUACAGCGCCUG